rnacentral:ncRNA from 1 species
CUUCAGGGACGACUCUGAAUCACCAGAUACCUUAAGGGGACGACCCCU